rnacentral:tRNA from 1 species
GUGGGUAUAGCUCAGUGGUAGAGCUCAUACUUAGCAUGCAGGAAGUUCUGGGUUCAAUCCCCAGUACCUCUG